rnacentral:rRNA from 1 species
CGUAGGGGGCUAGCGUUGUCCGGAUUUAUUGGGCGUAAAGAGCGCGUAGGCGGCUAGGUAAGUCCGACGUGAAAUCUGGAGGCUCAACCUCCAGCGGUCGUUGGAAACUACUUGGCUAGAGUCCGGAAGAGGAGAGUGGAAUUCCUGGUGUAGCGGUGUAAUGCGCAGAUAUCAGGAAGAACACCGAUGGCGAAAGCAGCUCUCUGGGACGGUACUGACGCUGAGGCGCGAAAGCGUGGGGAGCGAACAGGAUUAGAUACCCUGGUAGUCCACGCCGUAAACGAUGGGUGCUAGGUGUGAGCGGUGUCGACUCCGCUCGUGCCGAAGCUAACGCAUUAAGCACCCCGCCUGGGGAGUACGGCCGCGAGGCUA